GACGAACGCUGGCGGCGUGCCUAAUACAUGCAAGUUGAGCGCUGAAGGUUGGUACUUGUACCGACUGGAUGAGCAGCGAACGGGUGAGUAACGCGUGGGGAAUCUGCCUUUGAGCGGGGGACAACAUUUGGAAACGAAUGCUAAUACCGCAUAAAAACUUUAAACACAAGUUUUAAGUUUGAAAGAUGCAAUUGCAUCACUCAAAGAUGAUCCCGCGUUGUAUUAGCUAGUUGGUGAGGUAAAGGCUCACCAAGGCGAUGAUACAUAGCCGACCUGAGAGGGUGAUCAGCCACAUUGGGACUGAGACACGGCCCAAACUCCUACGGGAGGCAGCAGUAGGGAAUCUUCGGCAAUGGACGAAAGUCUGACCGAGCAACGCCGCGUGAGUGAAGAAGGUUUUCGGAUCGUAAAACUCUGUUGGCAGAGAAGAACGUUGGUGGGAGUGGAAAGCUCAUCAAGUGACGGUAACUACCCAGAAAGGGACGGCUAACUACGUG
rnacentral:rRNA from 1 species